rnacentral:rRNA from 1 species
ACAGAGGUGGCUAACGUUAUCCGGAAUUACUGGGUGUAAAGGGUCCGCAGGCGGUCUUGUAAGUCAAAGGUGAAAUAAUCCGGCUCAACCGGGUUUCUGCCUUUGAUACUGCAGGACUUGAGUACGGAAGAGGAGAGUGGAAUUCCCUGUGUAGCGGUGAAAUGCGUAGAUAUAGGGAAGAACACCGGUGGCGAAGGCGGCUCUCUGGUCCGAUACUGACGCUCAGGGACGAAAGCCAGGGGAGCAAACGG